UCGGACGGCCGCCGGCGGGUGAUAAUGCCCGGGCUAUGGCGAGGAGAGGUGUCCUCUCUUCUCCCAGAAAAACAGCGGACUCGGAGGAAGGUUUUUUUGGCCCGUUUCCAAGACUCUCCUCUCAAACGACAAAGCGGGCUAAGCUUGUAGAAGGGCAUUGAGACAUCUUUCGGACGCGGGUUCAAUCCCGCCAUCUCCACAU
rnacentral:tmRNA from 1 species